GAUGAACGCUGGCGGCGUGCCUAAUACAUGCAAGUCGAGCGAACAGACGAGGAGCUUGCUCCUCUGACGUUAGCGGCGGACGGGUGAGUAACACGUGGAUAACCUACCUAUAAGACUGGGAUAACUUCGGGAAACCGGAGCUAAUACCGGAUAAUAUAUUGAACCGCAUGGUUCAAUUGUGAAAGACGGUUUUGCUGUCACUUAUAGAUGGAUCCGCGCCGCAUUAGCUAGUUGGUAAGGUAACGGCUUACCAAGGCGACGAUGCGUAGCCGACCUGAGAGGGUGAUCGGCCACACGGGAACUGAGACACGGUCCAGACUCCUACGGGAGGCAGCAGUAGGGAAUCUUCCGCAAUGGGCGAAAGCCUGACGGAGCAACGCCGCGUGAGUGAUGAAGGUCUUCGGAUCGUAAAACUCUGUUAUUAGGGAAGAACAAAUGUGUAAGUAACUAUGCACGUCUUGACGGUACCUAAUCAGAAAGCCACGGCUAACUACGUG
rnacentral:rRNA from 1 species